GCUGGGCGUGGUGGCACAUGCCUGUAGUCCCAGCUACUCAGGAGGCUGAGAUACAAGAAUCACUUGAACCCAGGAGGCGGAGGUUGCAGUGAGCGGAGAUCAUGCCACUGCACUCCAUCCUGGGUGACAGAGUGAGACUGUGUCUCAA
ensembl:misc_RNA Metazoa_SRP Metazoan signal recognition particle RNA